rnacentral:lncRNA from 1 species
CCGAAAACAAGUCAAUCCUGUAGAAACAAACAACGCCUUAAACAGCUCAUCGGCAGCACUGCCGACACUUUCCUCCCUGCCACCCUGCUUCUCCACCAGCUGCUCAGCACCCUUCACGACGUCCCGGUGCAAGCACAAGCUCCUUGAGAUAUAACUUAGGCCUUGUUUGAUACAGCUCAACUUCACUAGUAAAGCUGUUUUUUUAGAAAAUAGCUUUAUGAGCAACUUUCUAGAUGAAGCUAAGCUAUUUUGAAAAAAGUGUUUGGUAAAAUAGCUUCACCAACUACUUCUUACAUAGAUGAGAGAGAGAAAUGAGAGAGAGAGCUGCAAUAAGCUACUUUUUUCAGCUUCAUCCCAACUCAUGUCUUUGGGAGAGAAGAACAAAAACAGCUUCAUCCAUGAAGCUGUUUUAGAAACAAGUGUUUGGCAAAAAAAAAAACAGCUCACAACAGCUCAUGAAACUGUUGUGAGUUGUAUCAAACAGGCCCUUAAAUAUGACAUAGCAAGGGCAAAGUAGUCCAGAAACACGCCUGUGGGCCUGUGGCCGUCUGGCGACUUCCUUUGCUUCUCUUUCCUCUCUUCCUAGGACAACUACUAGAAGCUAUACGGAGAGCGAGUAUGUCUUGCAUAUUGAGAUAGAUCAUGAGAUGUUGUGGAUAAUUUGCAUUAAGAUGUUGGAAGUUAGUGGCAUGGCAUGACUAUUAGUGGAAGAUGAUGUUGAUGUCUUGCUUGUUCAAAAAAAACUUGAGAUGAUGCAUGGAUAGCUUACAUUAAGAGGUUGAAAGUUAGUUGUACGACAUGUCAAUUAGUAGAAGAUGAUGUGGAUGUCUUGUAUGUUAAGAUAGAAGUUGAGAUGCAUGAAUAGCUUGCAUGAAGAGGUUGGAAAGUAGUGGCAUGACAUGUCUAUUAGUGAAGGUUGGAAGUUAGUUGUAUGACAUGGCAAUUAGUGAAAGAUGACGUGGAUGUCUUGCAUGUUAAGAUAGCACUGAGAUGCAUGCAUAGCUUUCAUGAAGAGAUUGGAAUGUAGUGACAUGACAUGUCUAUUAGUGAAAGAUGAUGUGGA